CCUUCUAGUUGCUGUUCUUGACAUGGAUGAUUUUGUUCGUAACAAAUUAAUUGAAUGGGGCCUUGGCGCGUUGAAAGAAAGAUUUCAAGAGGAACGCAUUGACACAGAACUUCUUUACCUUCUUGAAGAUUGUGACAUUGAUAACUUGAUCCCAAAUUUGGAACAACGGGCAAAAUUCAAGAACAAUCUCAAGUUUUUAAAGGUUCAGCCAUCCGGAAAGAGAAAGCUGGAUC